CUCAGGACGAAACGCCGCUCAAGUACUUCCUCGUUAGUAUAGUGGAGCUUUCUCAAGUCACUUCUGGUGUGAGAGAAUUGGCCGUCUGCAAACACAUUGCUCAGAGGAUGCCCAAAUGUUUUACCAUCCUGUAGGAGGCUUCUCUCAUGUCCCAGCAUGAGAAACUGGAGCUGACAGAUUGGAGCUCACCCUGCUCCCCAAUUUGAACCGCCAACCUUUUGGUCAGCAGACCUGUCGGCACAAGGGUUUAAUUCAUUCCACCACCGGGGGCUCCUGAUGUAAAGCAAUGAAUUUGAAUGCCAACUGCAGGAAGCAGAUGGUAGCUGCUUGGUCCAAAAGAUCUGGGAACCACUGAACCUGACGGAAAUGAAGAAAGUCUGCUGCUGUAGUGGACAGUAACAAGAGAGGGAGCUCUUACCACAUUGCUUUCAGAAAGAGGGGAACUGCUGCUGCUGCUGCUGAGAGUGUCCAGUUUAUCAUAUUCAGACAACACACAACUGAAACUCAACCAUCCUAUGACUUUCAUGUGAGAAAUUGUUUUUUUAAUGGUACAAGCAACUAAGGAGAACCAGAUGACACUAAAAAUAUAAUAAGAUCUAGUGUGCUUUGAAGCUUCUCUCAACAGGGAGGCUUAUUUGUUUCUGUCUACCAUACUAUUGAUUUAUUUAUCUUGGUCAUCUUUAACUGUUUUCCAAAUAAGUCCCUUCUUGCCAUUCAAUCUAUAUAGGGUUUUCGCCAAGCUCUGAGUCAAUGCAUGUUGCCACUAAAGUGUGCCCCUUGUGGCUCCCUCAGGACUACAUGCAGCAGCAACAAUGAAAUUUGUGUUGCUGAAGGCUUUUAUGGCCAGAAUCACUGGGUUGCUGUGAAUUUUCAGGGCUAUAUGUCCAUGUUCCAGAAGCAUUCUCUCCUGACAUUUCAUCCACAUCUAUGGAAGGUGUCCUCAGAGGUUGUGAGGUGUGUUGGAAACUAGGAAAGAUGGGCAUCUGUGGAAUGUUUGAGAUGGGACAAAGAACUCUUGUUUGUUUGAGGCAAGUGUGAAUGUUGCAAUUGGCCUCCUUGAUUAAGCAUUGAAUGGCUAAUCAAGUUUCUUUCUCCCACUCUGGACAUUCCACAGAUAUAUAAACUUCACUUGCCUAGUUUCCAACAAAUCUCGCAACCUCUGAGGAUGCUUGCCAUAGAUGUGGGUGAAA